rnacentral:rRNA from 1 species
UACGAAGGGUGCAAGCGUUAGUCGGAAUUACUGGGCGUAAAGCGUGCGUAGGUGGUUUCUUAAGUCGGAUGUGAAAGCCCUGGGCUCAACCUGGGAAUGGCACUCGAUACUAGGAAGCUAGAGUGCGGUAGGGGAGACUGGAAUUCCUGGUGUAGCGGUGGAAUGCGCAGAUAUCAGGAGGAACACCAGUGGCGAAGGCGAGUCUCUGGGAUGAUGCUGACGCUGAGGCGCGAAAGCCAGGGGAGCAAACGGG